GAUUUGGACAAUGGGCGAAAGCCUGAUCCAGCCAUGCCGCGUGUGUGAAGAAGGUCUUCGGAUUGUAAAGCACUUUAAGUUGGGAGGAAGGGCAGUUGCCUAAUACGUGAUUGUUUUGACGUUACCGACAGAAUAAGCACCGGCUAACUCUGUG
rnacentral:rRNA from 1 species